GGCCUGUGAUGUGAACAAUUUGUCCGUACCAUCUGACAUCUCUGAUGAGAUCCACAUUUGCUAAUGUAUCUCUGAGGUCC